CUUCAUUGGAGCUAUUUGAAGAUUUUUGAAAAGCUACAAAGGCGCGGAUGACCGACUAGGAAGGAUGGCGGUUUUGAGCGCAGGGCACGUCUGGCUAUAUGGGGUUCUGACAGGUGAGGGCAGACAUCCCCAAUAAUUGGCGAGUGGCGCCUCCAUCUGCAAGUCUGUUCCCCUCUAGUAACAAGUCGCAGGCUACAACCUUGAAUGGUCUUCACGUACAGCUCUGGUGGUUACGCUCCCGUACCCAUGCGCAUCGUUGGAUCCUAAUGCACCCAGGAAAUCUAGACGGAGUGGGUCUCAUGCUGAGCCCGUUCAUUUCAUUGUGGACUUAAGGUCAAAUCGAGAAUCGAGAUGGUUCGGGAUGAACCGUUAAGGUUCUCAGCCGAAAGAGGUCGGCACCUGGUGACCCAAGCCGGCCUCCGGCCAACCAAUGGUCGGCACCAACCAGACCUCGGCGUUGAGCAGUCGUGUCGCCUAGCUGGAUCUCACCUACUAUAACAACUACCAUAAGAAAAUUCUGGUAUUACUAGACAGACGAGUACUUCCAAGCCACUAAUUAAUGCUAUGUUUGAAAAGUAAAAUUUUUCAAUAAAAUUUUGAU